UAUGUGACGAAGACGGGGACAGUAAGGUACUUUUCUCUAUUAUAGCGAACCAGGAAAUGGUGCAAGCCUGGUAUAGAGCGGUAUUCGAAGAUCACCCCUGAGUUCCUGGACUGAAAACUUUAGUAAGUUCAGGCGCUUCAUCCACGCUACGGAUGACUAAGCGGGUUUUAGAUGAAAAUCAGAACCUAUUAGGGUGGUACCGCGGGUUAACCUUCUCGUCCCUACU
rnacentral:ncRNA from 1 species